AUUAAAAAUUUAUUAUUAAAUGUUUUAUUUUUUUUUUGUUUAAUAAAAAUAAUUUUAUUAAUUUAUUUUUUAAGUAUAUUUUAUAGAAAAAAUUUUGUUAAUUAUAGUUUAUUUGUAUUGUAAAAGAUAAUUGAAAUAAUAUAUUAAUUAUUUAAAAGUAAAAUUUAAUUUUUGUACCUUGUGUAUCAGGGUUUAUUAAAUAAAUAUUAAUUAUUUUAAUUUUCUCGAUUUUAAGAGAGCUAAUAAAGUAUUUUUUUUAUUGUAAAAAAACUAUUUAAAAUAUUUUAUUGGUAAUGAAACGUUAUUCGUUCUUAAAAAUAUCUAGUUUAUUUAGAAAUGAAUUUAAUUCAAAUAUUUUAAUUUUAAUAAUUUAAUUUAUUAAUUUAUUAAAUUUUAAUAUUAAUAAUUAAAGGGAUAAGCUUUUAAUUAAAAAUUUAUAAGUUAGAUAAUAAUUUUAGAAAAUGUAAGUUUAGAAAUAUCUAUCAAUAAUAAUUUGUUAUAAUUAAUUUAAUAUUAAAAUAUUAUUUUAUAUAACUUUAAAUUUUUUAUAAAUAAAUAAUUUUUAAUUUUAUAAAAUUAGAUAUAAUGAUAGAAUUAGUAUAUAUUUUAAAUAUUUAAAUAAUAGUAUAAAAAAGAUUAUUUAAAGGAAUUCGGCAAAAAUUUUACUCGCCUGUUUAACAAAAACAUGUCUUUUUGAUAUAUAUAUAAAGUCUAGCCUGCCCACUGAAAUUUUUAAAUGGCCGCAGUAUUUUGACUGUGCAAAGGUAGCAUAAUCAUUAGUUUUUUAAUUAAAAGCUCGUAUGAAAGGUUGGACGAAGUAAAAUCUGUCUCUAUUUAAUUUAAAUUAGAAUUUAAUUUUUAAGUUAAAAAGCUUAAAUUUUAAUAAAAGACGAGAAGACCCUAUAGAGCUUUAUAAUUUAUUUAAUAUAAUUAAUUAAGAUUAAUUUAGAUUUUAUUAAUAUAAUUAUUUUAUUGGGGUAAUAGGAAGAUUAAAUAAAUUCUUUUUUUUUAUUUACAUUGAUUUAUGAAAUAAGUGAUCCAUUUUUAAUGAUUAUAAGAUUAAGUUACCUUAGGGAUAACAGCGUAAUUUUUUUAGAGAGUUCAUAUCGAUAAAAAAGUUUGCGACCUCGAUGUUGGAUUAAAGAUUAGUUUAGGUGUAGAAGUUUAAAUUUUUGGUCUGUUCGACCAUUAAAUCUUUACAUGAUCUGAGUUCAGACCGGUGUAAGCCAGGUCGGUUUCUAUCUUUAUUUAAUAAAAAUAUUUUAGUACGAAAGGACCAAAUAUUUAAUAUAUUUAUAUUUAAAUU
rnacentral:rRNA from 1 species